UGGGGAAUCUUCCGCAGUGGACGAAAGUCUGACGGAGCAACGCCGCGUGAGUGAUGACGGCCUUCGGGUUGUAAAGCUCUGUUAAUCGGGACGAAAGGCCUUCUUGCGAACAGUUAGAAGGAUUGACGGUACCGGAAUAGAAAGCCACGGCUAACUACGUGCCAGCAGCCGCGGUAAUACGUAGGUGGCAAGCGUUGUCCGGAAUUAUUGGGCGUAAAGCGCGCGCAGGCGGAUCAGUCAGUCUGUCUUAAAAGUUCGGGGCUUAACCCCGUGAUGGGAUGGAAACUGCUGAUCUAGAGUAUCGGAGAGGAAAGUGGAAUUCCUAGUGUAGCGGUGAAAUGCGUAGAUAUUAGGAAGAACACCAGUGGCGAAGGCGGCUUUCUGGACGAAAACUGACGCUGAGGCGCGAAAGCCAGGGGAGCGAACGGGAUUAGAUACCCCGGUAGUCCUGGCCGUAAACGAUGGGUACUAGGUGUAGGAGGUAUCGACCCCUUCUGUGCCGGAGUUAACGCAAUAAGUACCCCGCCUGGGGAGUACGACCGCAAGGUUG
rnacentral:rRNA from 1 species